rnacentral:rRNA from 1 species
AAGAAACCAACAGGGAUUGCCCUAGUAACGGCGAGUGAAGCGGCAACAGCUCAAAUUUGAAAUCUGGCUUCGGCCCGAGUUGUAAUUUGCAGAGGAAGCUUUAGGCGCGGCACCUUCUGAGUCCCCUGGAACGGGGCGCCAUAGAGGGUGAGAGCCCCGUAUAGUUGGAUGCCUAGCCUGUGUAAAGCUCCUUCGACGAGUCGAGUAGUUUGGGAAUGCUGCUCAAAAUGGGAGGUAAAUUUCUUCUAAAGCUAAAUACCGGCCAGAGACCGAUAGCGCACAAGUAGAGUGAUCGAAAGAUGAAAAGCACUUUGAAAAGAGGGUUAAAUAGCACGUGAAAUUGUUGAAAGGGAAGCGCUUGUGACCAGACUUGCGCCGGGCGGAUCAUCCGGUGUUCUCACCGGUGCACUCCGCCCGGCUCAGGCCAGCAUCGGUUCUCGCGGGGGGAUAAAGGCCCUGGGAACGUAGCUCCUCCGGGAGUGUUAUAGCCCGGGGCGCAAUGCCCUCGCGGGGACCGAGGACCGCGCAUCUGCAAGGAUGCUGGCGUAAUGGUCAUCAGCGACCCGUCUUGAAACACGGACCAAGGAGUCAAGGUUUUGCGCGAGUGUUUGGGUGUAAAACCCGCACGCGUAAUGAAAGUGAACGUAGGUGAGAGCUUCGGCGCAUCAUCGACCGAUCCUGAUGUUUUCGGAUGGAUUUGAGUAGGAGCGUUAAGCCUUGGACCCGAAAGAUGGUGAACUAUGCUUGGAUAGGGUGAAGCCAGAGGAAACUCUGGUGGAGGCUCGCAGCGGUUCUGACGUGCAAAUCGAUCGUCAAAUCUGAGCAUGGGGCGAAAGACUAAUCGA